rnacentral:rRNA from 1 species
GGGGAAUCUUGCGCAAUGGGCGAAAGCCUGACGCAGCAACGCCGCGUGGGGGAUGAAGGCCUUCGGGUUGUAAACCUCUUUCACCAUCGACGAAGCCUUUCGGGGUGACGGUAGGUGGGGAAGAAGCACCGGCUAACUACGUGCCAGCAGCCGCGGUAAUACGUAGGGUGCGAGCGUUGUCCGGAUUUAUUGGGCGUAAAGAGCUCGUAGGCGGUUUGUCGCGUCGGCCGUGAAAACCUACAGCUUAACUGUGGGCUUGCGGUCGAUACGGGCAGACUUGAGUUCGGCAGGGGAGACUGGAAUUCCUGGUGUAGCGGUGAAAUGCGCAGAUAUCAGGAGGAACACCGGUGGCGAAGGCGGGUCUCUGGGCCGAGACUGACGCUGAGGAGCGAAAGCGUGGGGAGCGAAC